GCGAGAGUAGCCAAGCCAGGCCAACGGCGCCAGACUUAAGAUCUGGUCUAUAAGUAGUUCAUGGGUUCGAAUCCCACCUCUCGCA
rnacentral:tRNA from 4 species